rnacentral:antisense_RNA from 1 species
AAGCUGCGAAGAUGGCGGAGUAAGGCCUGCCGCUGUAAACUGGCCUCUGGGCCGGGGGCGCACAGCCCCCGGGAGGCCGAGUGCAUCUGUUGGACCGUGCUAGGAGAAGAAAAAAAAGAGAUCGGCCAGAGGAAAGGAACUAACCGAACAUUCUUCCUCCCUACCUUACAGAGGGGAGUGGUCAUCUAUACUAAAGCAAAGUGUCAUGCGCGUCUGUGCGAAGAGACCACCAAACAGGCUUUGUGUUCCUUAUCACAGGAAGAAAAUUUUCCUUGACCUUUAGGUGCUUUUAUAUUCAUCUCAAAAACAAAAUUCUGAACUCAGGACUUGGCAAAGUUUUGCUCUUGCCGCCUAGGCUGAAGUGCAAUGGCGCAAUCUCGGCUCACUGCAACCUCCACCUCCCGGGUUCAAGCGAUUCUCCUGCCUCAGCCUCCUGAGUAGCUGACAUUAUAGGCGCCUGCCACCACACCCAGCUUAUUUUUGUAUUUUUAGUAGAGAUGGGGUUUCACCAUAUUGGGCAGGCUCGUCUUGAACUCCUGACCUCGUGAUCCGCCCACCUCGGCCUCCCAAAGUGCUGAGAUUGGAGGUGUGAGCCACCGCACCUGGCCAGUGUGUCCUUUCUUAAUUGACAGUGACAUUAUAUC